UACAGAGGGUGCAAGCGUUAAUCGGAAUUACUGGGCGUAAAGCGUGCGUAGUCGGUUAUCUAAGUCGGGUGUGAAAUCCCCGGGCUCAACCUGGGAAUUGCAUUCGAUACUGGAUAGCUAGAGUUCGGCAGAGGGAAGCGGAAUUUCCGGUGUAGCGGUGAAAUGCGUAGAUAUCGGAAGGAACACCUGUGGCGAAAGCGGCUCACUGGACCAUUACUGACGCUGAGGCACGAAAAGCUAGGGGGAGCAAACAGGA
rnacentral:rRNA from 1 species